rnacentral:rRNA from 1 species
CAGCAGCCGCGGUAAAACGUAGGGUGCAAGCGUUAAUCGGAAUUACUGGGCGUAAAGCGUGCGCAGGCGGUUAGAUAAGCCAGAUGUGAAAUCCCCGAGCUCAACUUGGGAACUGCGUUUGGAACUGUUUAACUAGAGUGCGUCAGAGGGGGGUGGAAUUCCGCGUGUAGCAGUGAAAUGCGUAGAGAUGCGGAGGAACACCGAUGGCGAAGGCAGCCCCCUGGGAUGACACUGACGCUCAUGCACGAAAGCGUGGGGAGCAGAUAGGAUUAGAUACCCCAGUAGUCCCUGUCUCUUAUAC